GCAGUGGAGCAGGGCAGAGAGAGAGAUGGAGAGAAAGAAACAGAGAGGAUCCCAAGCAGGCUCCAUGCUCAGCACAGAGCUACAACCCUGGGAUCAAGACUUGAGCCAAAUUAAGAGUCAGAUGCUCAACCAACUGAGCCACCUAAAUCUGCCCCUAAAUCUGUGUUCUUUCUAAGGCAGUGCUGUCCCAUAGAACUUUCUGUGAUGAUGUUCUAUACCUCUGUGGUCCAAUGUGACAGCCACAUUGUGGCUAUUGAGCGUUUGAAGUGAGACUAGUGUAACUGAGGAAAUCAGUUUUUUAUUUUAUUUAAUUUUAAUUAAAACUAAACUUUAUUUAUUUAUUUUAAAGGUUUAUUUAUUUGUUUUGAGAGAGUGUGUGUGCAAGCGGAGGAGGGGCAGAGAGUGUGAGGGAGACAGAGAAUCCCAAGCAGGCUCUCCUCAGCACGGAGCCUGAUGCAGGGCUCAUUGCCAUGACCGCAAGAUCACCACCUGAGCUGAUAUCAAGAGCCGACCGCUUAAUCUACUGAGCUACCCAGGUGUCUCCUGCCUCCAGUCAUCUGGUUUUUCAUAAAUGGCUUUAGAGCUGAAUAUUUACAAACUGGAGUCUUUAAUGUUCAAUAUUCAUAAACAGCCUAUGCCUCCAACAAACAGUGAUAUGAAAACAAAACAUAAUUGCCUACUUAAUAGAACUCUAGAUGAUAGCCCUUCCUUGUCGGACCUCUGGAUUUAUGGUUCGUCAGGCUAGGCUGUCUCCCAGACUGGCUAAUUUGACUGUAAAGUCUCUUUUCAGUAGAGACCAGUUUUCUUGCACUAGUUUAAUUCUUUCUUAGUCGCCAGUCUACCUAGACUUUUCUUCUUUCUCUUUCAAUUGAUUACAACUUCACUGUCCUGUGGAAAUCUCUUUGUUUACUGCUGUGGAAAUCCAGGGGGGCCAGAACCGGGUUCAUGGCUCUCAGCAACGCUGGGUCCUGCAGCAGACGGGUAAACUGACCAGACCUUGCAGAUGCCCUAACCUGAGGUUGGAACUACUCCUGCCCCCCAUCUCUCUGUGUGCCUACCCUCAGAAAAACAGAUUACAAAUGUGGGCACCAGAAUCAGAUUGCCUGGACCCGAUCUCCUCCUGGCCAAGCAAGAGUUACUUAACAUUUUUUGGCCUCACACUCUUCAUCUAUAAAACAGGAUAAAAAUAGUUUCUAUCUGAUAAUAGUGUUGUGAGAAUUAAAUGAAAAUAAUCUGAGUAAGGGCUUAGCAUGGUUCCUGGAACAUGUGUCCACUCAAUGAUUAUUGAUUGUUAUAAUUAUUGGUUAUCAUUAUUCUUUAAUGACCAUAAUCCCCUUCCUUAAGGUAAUGUGACUUUUUUAUAACAUGAAGAAAUACACUCUUCAGUUUUAUUACACCAAAGGUUUUAUGGAUUCCCCUCUAGUUGGUCAGUUUCAUGUUUUUUCUCUACUCAAGUUUAUGUAUUUUUUCAUCCAUCCAACCUUCAUUGAAGCCCCAUGAUGUGCCAGGUACCAUCUUAGAGAUGGGGACAGAAUGUUGAGGGAGACACAUUUCCUCCAGGUGCUCAUGUUUACUCGAGAAGAUAACACAGAAGCAGAUCCCAAAUGUGGUAUUCAUUCAAAGAAGUCACUUUCCAGUAAGUAUUGUUUUAUCAAAACAACUUCCAGCAGGGAUUGGCGCAAUUGUUCUUUGUUUUCUGGUGGAGGGAGGGGCUGAUGGAUGUUAAUAAUAGGCCAGAUAUACCAGACAUUCCAUCCACUGGAGUUCCAGUGGUUUAAUAAAGUCAUUCAUACCCUGA